AUGAUGUUGUUUCUCUUCAGAUCGCAUAGAUCUUUCGCCUUUUACUAAAGAUUUCCGUGGGGAGGAACAAUUGAUAAAACAUUUAAUUAGGAUUUGUAUAUCUAGAAAUUAGCAGGAGU